AUGACACAUGCACACCAUCACACAUACACACCAUCACACACACCAUCACACACCAUCACACACACACAUAUACACACCAUCACACACACACCAUCUCACACACACACACAUAUACACCAUCACACACACCAUCACACACACACACAUCACACACACCAUCACACACACACCAUCUCACACACCAUCUCACACACAUAUACACCAUCACACACACCAUCACACACACACACACACACACACACAUCACACACACACACCUUCUCACACACACACACACACCAUCUCACACACAUACACACCAUCACACACACACCAUCACACACACCAUCACACACACUAUCACACACACACACACCACCUCACACACACAUAUACACACCAUAUCUCACACACGCACACACCAUCACACACACUAUCACACACACACACACACCACCUCACACACCAUCUCACACACACAUAUACACACCAUAUCUCACACACACACACACAUCACACACACCUUUUCACACACUCACACACACACCAUCUCUCACACACACACACACCUCACAUACACACACCAUCACACACACCUCACAUACACACCAUCACACACACACACACACACACACACACCAUCACACACACACACAUACACACCAUCACACACACACACAUCACACACACCAUCACACACACACACACCAUCACACACACACACCAUCACACACACACACCAUCACACACACCUCACACACUCACACAUACACACCAUCACACACACACACACCUCACACACUCACACACACCAUCACACACACCUCACACACUCACACAUACACACCAUCACACACACACACCAUCACACACACCUUCUCACACACUUGCACAUACACACCAUCACACACACAUCACACACACACACAUACACCCAUCACACACACACCAUCACACACACACCAUCACACACACACACCCCAUCACAUACACCUUAUCACACACUCACACAUACACACCAUCACACACACACACACUUCACACACACAUACACCCAUCACAUACACACACACCAUCACACACACCUUAUCACACAUACACACCAUCACACACCUUCUCACACACUCACACACACACACCAUCACACACACACACCAUCACACACACACACCUCACACACACACACACCACACACACACACACCAUCACACACACACACACACCAUCACACACACCUUAUCACACACUCACACAUACACACCAUCACACACCUUCUCACACACUCACACAUACACACCAUCACACACACACACACACACCAUCACACACACACACACCUCACACACUCACACAUACACCCAUCACACACACACACACACCAUCACACACACACACACAUACACACCAUCACACACACACACACACACACAUACCAUCACACACCCUCACACAUACACAAACACACACCGUCCCAGACUUCGGACCAGGGGCAGCUCCCCAGUGAAGUCUUGCUUCCAGGCAGGGAGGUGUUGGAGAGGACAGAGUCCUGGAAACGCGGGCUGUGCGGGCCUGGUUCUGAUCAACACAUACUGCCUCCAGAUUCUCUGGACUGAAUCCAGUUCCCUAAGGGGCUGA
ensembl:lncRNA